rnacentral:rRNA from 1 species
GUGGAUUAGAUACCCCAGUAGUCCACGCUGUAAACGAUGGGCACUAGGUGUGGGGGGUAUCCACUCCUCCCGUGCCGCAGCUAACGCAUUAAGUGCCCCGCCUGGGGAGUACGGCCGCAAGGUUAAAACUCAAAGGAAUUGACGGGGGCCCGCACAAGCGGUGGAGCAUGUGGUUUAAUUCGACGCAACGCGAAGAACCUUACCUGGGCUUGACAUCCCCGGAACCCCCUGGAAACAGGGGGGUGCCCCCGCAAGGGGGAGCCGGGAGACAGGUGCUGCACGGCUGUCGUCAGCU